rnacentral:rRNA from 1 species
UACGUAGGGUGCGAGCGUUAAUCGGAAUUACUGGGCGUAAAGCGUGCGCAGGCGGUUUUGUAAGCCAGAUGUGAAAUCCCCGGGCUUAACCUGGGAAUGGCAUUUGGGACUGCAAGGCUCGAGUGCGGCAGAGGAGACUGGAAUUCCUGGUGUAGCAGUGAAAUGCGUAGAUAUCGGAAGGAACACCAGUGGCGAAAGCGGCUUCCUGGUCCAGCACCGACGUUCAGGCACGAAAGCGUGGGGAGCAAACAGG